CUUUCGCUCUUAUCGCUUCGGCUGCCGUUCUCUUCGUAAGCUCCUGCCUCUGCCUAUGCAUGUGCAGGUUUGUUUCGUAUGCUCUGCAGUUAAAACGUUUUUCUCUGUGGCGGCGGACGUUGCGGCAAUGUCGGAAAUAUUGAGGAAAGGACCCAAGGCGUGCUGCGUGUAUGUAUGGUGUGGCAACUUGGGCAGGAAGAGCGGGACAAAAUUUUCCGUUUCGCACCGGACGAGAGGUCCCAGAGCAGCAACGACAAACGCAGCACCAGCAGCUAGGGUGCAGCCAAAGAGCAUACUGGGUACGAGCCAGGCUAUGGCAACGGGGCUUUUGAGCUUGCUGAUCUUCUCUGUCACAAAAUGAAUACUGAGGUUUUCGUUCAUCGAACCAGCAGUGUCCUCUGCAAGUCUCAGCAAAAAAUAAAGCCCUGCGUGUCGUAGGGGGCUCAGUGCAGAGUAACGGAAAUAUUGUACGCAAGUUCCGGAUGCCUUACGACACCACCGUACCUCCCAGCACGUACAUCGAGCUACCCUCUAUUUUUCUUCCUUGAGCAAGUUUUGAGUGACGCUUCUGAUGUCCUCACAGGCAACGCUCUUAGGGCUUGUUUCAUCGCAUGUGCAAACAAGAAUAUCCAAAAAGGAGGACGGACGAAAAGGCACCACCGUUGCACAAUUGAUGGAGUAUAACACAAAUCAGCUCUGGGUUCGGCUUCCAUGGAGGGACGGGAGGUUAUUGCGGACGGAAACUGUCGAUAGAGUUGUGGUUGGAUGACCAGCAACGAGAAGACCGGAAAUAGUGCCCUCCAUGGAGAAAAAAGGUGCAGAGGGGUGAGAGGACCGAAAAAGCGAGAUACGCGGCAGAUGGGCUCAUCUGUAGGAUUGCGACAUGAGGGAACCGUCGUCGAGAAUCUUCAAAUGUCACCGUCUGUGUCGUAAGGUCUCUAUGGGUUUCAUUGAAAAAUGAACCUUCAGUUCUUCGAGUAAUUUAUUCGCCACAGAGUGCACCUCACCAUACCAGGAAUUAGAAAAGAAAUCCAAGCUGUUAUCUCCUGCUCUUAAACAGCUGUCUCUGCUCCUUUAGCGUGAGAGGUACAUCGACCACGUUCGAAUUUCCGCGAGCCAAAGCGACGCACGUGAUAAGUGUUAUAAAAACAGGGUAAUCAUUACUUUGGCUAGAGAAUGUAUUCACAAGAGUUGCUAGUCAUCAUCAUAAUGUCUCUAGUGUCGAACAAGAAUUGUUGCUGGGCUAAUCAAAGUGAGGUGAUUAAUCAAACAGAGCAUUGCACAAUCACUCUUCUAUGUUAUUUGCCCGUGUUCUUACGCGUUGUUUCAUUAAAUUUGUAGUUUUGCUGACUGUAACCUUAAAGGAGGGUGCUGCAACGGACGCACAUUUGUAAGUGGCGGAUAACCCUUGCAGUUUGCUGAAGGACAGGUACAGUGAUAAGGAGAAGUCAUAAGAUUAAAGCAGGGUGGUUAGCAGUGCAGGCUGCUGUCUGUCAGCGAUCCUACACUGGGAAAGAAAAAAACGGGACCACAAAAAUUACAUGAAGGAAAGAAGAAAAGUAAACGGCUUGGCGCAUGCAAUUAUUCAUCGUUCAGUCAGUAAUAAAAAGUCCCAUGUAGUCACGUCAGAUACAAAAAGAAAGCGCAGCAGCGCCUUUGUGGCUUUAUGCGCCACAGUCAUACGUGGCCAUGGUUCAAAAAACUUUUCCUUUGUUUACAAAGACGGCGCCAAAUAAAACAACACACGAAGAAGGGGGACACGAGACAGCACGUAGGCGCACUAACAACUGAGUGUUUUAUUUUUUUGACAUAGUAAUAUAUAGCUUGACAUAGUAAUAUAUAGCUUGUAAUCAUGCUUAACCAUCUAGCCCACCAACACACGCUCAGUUAUUUCCUUUGUGCAAUCGGUGUCAAUUAAUUGCCCCAAAGCGGCACAAAUCGCAAACCUGUAAUCAAUUUAAGAAGAGCAGUGAUACAAGACGAUCAUUAAGGUUUCUUCUGUGUCGCAUCACACUGGCUUCAG